CAUAAGGUUGUACUUUUCACUUCAAAUAUGGUCAGAAAGUUAUUUUGCAAGUUGACUUGGAGGAGUUUGAUCUCACUGUUAUUCACACGUGGCCCCUGGUGAACACACACUGAAGGACUCCCUGCAGCCUGCAGGCAAGUCCAUGUCAGACCCGUGUGUCUGAUAGCAGCCCGAAUCAGAUAAAAAGACUGCUAACCUAGUCCAGGUGGAGUAAUGGAAUUACGAACAGCCGUGUCUGGACUGAGACAGACGGUGGGCGGAAUGAAGGCAAAGAGAAAGGGAGAUGAAGUAAUGGAUUCCAGAGGGGAUUUGGGCAGCAGAGGAGAGGAGAUUUAACAUGAGUUCAAAUGAGAAGAUAUAGUCCUCGGCUCCAACCAGCAGUCUCCCUCGCUCCUCGUCCAAUAAGAAUGUGUCAUAGCCCGAACUAUUUGCCAGGCCAUUAAAGGAUCGCCUGAAUCAACACUAAGUGGGCUUCCCUGUCUCUAUUGGAAAAGAGCUUAAUAUUCUCCAACAAUCCUUCGAGGCCGCCGUGAACCUGUUUCAUAUCUACUCAAUUCAAAUUACGCACAGGUGGAUUCCACACACAGAUUAGGUAAAUUCCCUGUGUCCAGAAGUGAAAAAUCCAAUUGGACGUCCCGACAGACACACAGCUGUCAUGUUGUUAUGUAAUUGUGAA